rnacentral:rRNA from 1 species
UGGCGGCAGGCCUAACACAUGCAAGUCGAGCGGUAGAGAGGUGCUUGCACCUCUUGAGAGCGGCGGACGGGUGAGUAAUGCCUAGGAAUCUGCCUGGUAGUGGGGGAUAACGCUCGGAAACGGACGCUAAUACCGCAUACGUCCUACGGGAGAAAGCAGGGGACCUUCGGGCCUUGCGCUAUCAGAUGAGCCUAGGUCGGAUUAGCUAGUUGGUGAGGUAAUGGCUCACCAAGGCGACGAUCCGUAACUGGUCUGAGAGGAUGAUCAGUCACACUGGAACUGAGACACGGUCCAGACUCCUACGGGAGGCAGCAGUGGGGAAUAUUGGACAAUGGGCGAAAGCCUGAUCCAGCCAUGCCGCGUGUGUGAAGAAGGUCUUCGGAUUGUAAAGCACUUUAAGUUGGGAGGAAGGGCCAUUACCUAAUACGUGAUGGUUUUGACGUUACCGACAGAAUAAGCACCGGCUAACUCUGUGCCAGCAGCCGCGGUAAUACAGAGGGUGCAAGCGUUAAUCGGAAUUACUGGGCGUAAAGCGCGCGUAGGUGGUUCGUUAAGUUGGAUGUGAAAGCCCCGGGCUCAACCUGGGAACUGCAUUCAAAACUGUCGAGCUAGAGUAUGGUAGAGGGUGGUGGAAUUUCCUGUGUAGCGGUGAAAUGCGUAGAUAUAGGAAGGAACACCAGUGGCGAAGGCGACCACCUGGACUGAUACUGACACUGAGGUGCGAAAGCGUGGGGAGCAAACAGGAUUAGAUACCCUGGUAGUCCACGCCGUAAACGAUGUCAACUAGCCGUUGGGAGCCUUGAGCUCUUAGUGGCGCAGCUAACGCAUUAAGUUGACCGCCUGGGGCAGUACGGCCGCGAAGGUUAAAAACUCAAAUGAAUUGACGGGGGCCCGCACAAGCGGUGGGAGCAUGUGGUUUAAUUCGAACAACGGAAGAACCUUACCAGGCCUUGACAUCCAAUGAACUUUCCAGAGAUGGAUUGGUGCCUUCGG